UCACAGCUCAAGGUUGAAGAAGUCGCAAGUCCAGAAAACUCCGUCGGUUCCGCUUCCUGGUGAGCCAACAAGGAUGGGCUUCCCUCCUCCCGGUCUCCGCAACGCUUACAUUCCUUUGGGGCUUCCACAGGCAACUUACAGAAUGAUUGUGGAGAAUUGGACCAACCAACCCUGUUCACAACUUCAACAAACUAGCAAGUGAAGCAGAGGAGAGUAAUUUGGCUCACAAUAUGAUCCCUUCAACAUAUUCUCGCAAACCAAGGAACAGAUUUCAUUUAGAAGUGAACAAUGCCCGGAAAUAUCUCUUCACAAAGAAAGGCCGAGGCAUUGAAGGGAUUUCACCAACCCAAGCUGCACCAAUACAAUAUAUUAAGCGAGCUGUAUGCCAAGGUGUCCAUGUCUGGGGACAAUGUUCUAGUCCUAUGCCCAUUCUUCCUGAUCCCAUCUAUUAGGGUUGGGCACUUGCUGAAUCAUUUGUUGAAUUGUACCCAGAUACGGUUAUAUAAUAUUAAUUGUAUGUAUUCGUAGCAUUAAGGAGAACUCAAGGUCUCUAUAGGAUGGUUGUGAGAGUCCAAUUGAUCCGGGCUAGUGUACUUUCCGGGCUAAGUGUAGAUCGUGGUUUGAAGGUCAUACUAUUUACGUCUGUGAAUGUUUAGUGAACAUAACUUCCUUAGAUAUCAGAUAAAAAUACACGAGAACAAUGAUCUGGAGAAAGGAUAAAUGUAUCAGACCUAUGUGAAGUGUUGGAAGUGAUCCAGAAACUAUGCUU
rnacentral:lncRNA from 1 species